UACGAAGGGGGCUAGCGUUGCUCGGAAUCACUGGGCGUAAAGGGCGCGUAGGCGGCCAUUCAAGUCAGAGGUGAAAGCCCAAGGCUCAACCUUGGAACUGCCUUUGAUACUGUUUGGCUUGAGACCGGUAGAGGUAAGUGGAACUGCGAGUGUAGAGGUGAAAUUCGUAGAUAUUCGCAAGAACACCAGUGGCGAAGGCGGCUUACUGGACCGGUUCUGACGCUGAGGUGCGAAAGCGUGGGGAGCAAACAGG
rnacentral:rRNA from 1 species